rnacentral:rRNA from 1 species
UACGGAAGGGGCGAGCGUUGUUCGGAAUCACUGGGCGUAAAGCGCGCGUAGGCGGCCUUGCAAGUGCGGCGUGAAAGUCCUGGGCUCAACCUGGGGACGGCGCUGCGGACUGCAUGGCUAGAGUCCGGAAGAGGGUGGUGGAAUUCCGAGUGUAGAGGUGAAAUUCGUAGAUAUUCGGAGGAACACCGGUGGCGAAGGCGGCCACCUGGUCCGGCACUGACGCUCAAGCGCGAAAGCGUGGGGAGCAAACAGG